GUCCCGGCCCUAAACGGUGCGCAUUUGCUGUGGGCGGAAUCGACCCCGCCCGUGGCGUAGCUAACGCGUUAAAUGCGCCGCCUGGGGAGUACGGCCGCAAGGUUAAAACUCAAAGAAAUUGACGGGGGCCUGCACAAGCGGUGGAGUAUGUGGCUUAAUUCGAUGCAACGCGAAGAACCUUACCUGGCCUUGACAUGCAAAUAGUAGAAGCCUGAAAGGGUGACGACUCCGCAAGGAGAGUUUGCACAGGUGCUGCAUGGCUGUCGU
rnacentral:rRNA from 1 species